GUAUUUAUCCUUACACUGAAGUGACAGCUCCUGGGUGGCACGUGACAUGGCACAGCCAAGAAAACCGUACACAGGAUGUGUUUGCUCCAGCUGAAUGGUUCUCCAGGAAGACGUCUAGCAGAGCCUUUGAAUGCAUGUAUGCAUUUGGAAACCUGUUUUUACCAAAACUAUUUGAAUCUGGAAAUGCCUGAUUCAUAUCCCAACAAACUGAUUUGGAAAUUCUCUCUGUAACACUGUCAAUAAUAGAUGAUUAGUCUACAGCCUGAAGUUUGUGGUACAAAUUCUGAAAGGUAGUUCACUGGGGGAAUUCAGCUUCAAACUAGAAAUAGGUCAUUUGUUAAAGAAUUCACAGGAGUAACAGAUAUUUUUUUCCUCUUCUGGCCUUUCUCUCUUUUUCCUCCAUGAACUUCAUAUUACCAAAGUGCAUUUUUUUCCAGUACCUGAGGUUUGCUAGUAUGUUGAAAUGCAUUCGUCUUGCUGAGACUUGUUCCAUGCUCAAGUUUUAUUGUAAUUGACAGUUCACAGUAGCACUGUCCCUUGAGUUUUGCAUUUUAUUUUCUGUUGAAAUGUUUACUACCUUGUGCUGAUAAUCUCUGCUAGUGGGAACAGAACUAAAAAAGGAGGGGCGGUGUCCUCAUUUCAGAAACACUGCAAGGAGACCAAAGAUCAGAAGGACAGACUCUGGCGUAAGAAUUAUUCAGAACUGGCUUGUGGGCAAAUGCAAAAGCAGCCUGCCUUCAUGUACAGCACUGGCCAUUAAAUGUAGGAAAGUCAUGUCAUCCAUUUGCCUGGGAGAACUCAAAGGAAUUUACAAAGGGAGCCAUGAUUUGUAGUUGAGAUUCAUCAUAGAGAUCAAUAGUAUGUGUGAAUUUUGACUGUUUAAAGCUUAGCACAACAUUUCAGGCUGCAUGACCCCAAAUAAGGAUUUAACAGCUUAACAUUUAUUAGUAUUCAAGUUUAAAACUUUGGGCUUUGUGUGAAGCUAAUUGUGUAGUGCUCUAUUUCAUGCGUGUUGCAUGAUUUUUGUGACAUUUUAACUGAUACAAAAGGGGAAACAUAUCCUCCUUAUGUACAUGGAGAGGUGAAAUCAUUUUCCCUGGGGAAGCAUCCUCAGAGCCUGAUUUAUGAGAGCUGCAAUAAGCUGGGUAUAGUGAAUGCAGUGGUAGUGGGAGGGAACUGAAAGGGCCUGGCUCUUCCCAGAUGCAUACAGUGAGGUUUCCUUCCCUGGUUGCUGCCUCACUGUGUGCUGAAAGAUUUGAGCCUUACAUAUAAAACUGGGCCUUAUGCAAGGGCUUUUACUCCUCAGUGUUCACUGGAAGUCACUGGAGAAGCCCGUAGGUAUUUCUGUAGCUUUUAGCUUUUUUAUUUAAAAUAUUUAGAACCUAAUAACUGAAUUCAAGAGAAGCAGCAACUGAUUAGAGCAUCCUUAUUUCAUAAGGAGCAUUCAACAUCUUUAGAAAGCGAUGCUUUCCUGGAUGGAUUUGGCAUUGUCAGCUUGCUUUCACUGUUAUUUUUUGACUGUUACAUCUACAUUUUUCCUCUAGUUGUCAUUGGUGUCAAAAGAGAAGUAAGACAACUGAUUCAAAGGUCAGAGACAUCAUUUCAGAUUUGAUGAGUCAGUGACAAUAGAGCUCAGAGAAGUAGCCCUUGGCAAGUUUAAAAGUAGUGACAGUUUUGAUGGAGAAAUGGUUACAGGCAGUUGUGAAGGAGGCUUCUUUCUACAUAUAAAGAUGAAUAAUGAGCAAAACUUCUAUUGAUUCAUAUAAAAGAUGUAAUCUGGGACAAGAUUAGUCCUUAGUUUUCAUACCCUGAUUAUGGCUGAUGCUGUUAAUGGGUCACACUCAGCAGCAGGCGGUAGGAAGCAGGUCUAGACGUAGGACUGAAGCCCAGCCCUCACAAAAGAAUAGAGCCUUUCUGCUGGCCUUCCCAAACAGAGCCAAAAGAAGCAGUCCUGCAUAAAGGCACUGGCAAGGAGGAACCAGAGAAUGACACUGAAAUGUAAACCUAUGUUAAUAAGGACAUGGAAUCUAAAUGAUCAGACUACUAUUAAUUGUCUUCUUUCUCAAAAUGGAAGUACAUCUUAAGAUAAAAGUAAUGAGCAGCAUUAAGUCACGCUACAAUGUUUCCUGUGGUGUAGAUCCUCAGCAGGCAAAAUGAUGUGCACUGCUUCACACCCUGACCUCUCCAUUCAUCAUUUAAACACUGAAAAAUCUAGCUGAGGAAUUGCCAUAAAAGUGCAUGUCUUACAGAAGAAAACAUUGACUGUGUUACCCACUUCGAUUUUCAAUAGAAUUUCACCAAAAAUAUCCACAUCCAAUUUUCCUGUUGAUUCAAAUGUAGAGUCUACAACAGAGAGGAAAUCUUUGAUAACAUCAAUAAAAACUUCCCUGCUUUAUGUUUUGAUUCUUGCCUAGAGUAAGAAACUGGUCAUGGAAUAAGUAGGUCACUGAAAUAAUUACUGUACUGAAAAUAAUACAGCCUGACAGUUGUGGGGCUGAGCUACUGUAUGUCCAUUGGGCUGUAGCAAUUUUGGGUCUCUGAAUUAACAUAAAGAUGGAAAUCUUUAGUAUUUAACUUUAGCUGUGUACUUGCCUAAUCUGUAAAAGGUGUUCCCUUGUCAUCUAGAAGAGAUAUAUUUUCUUUUUUUUUAAGCCUGCCAACUAUAGUAAAAAUAAUAAUAAUUAUUAUAAAUGUUCUAACAAGUAUUACUGUUUUGUUUUAGCAGGCUCUGCAUUUUUUCUGAUAUUGUUUGCUCGUGUUGUCCAGUUAGAUAGCACUUAAUUGCUCUAAUUUUUGCACAAACUUUAAUAACAUUUCAAUUCUUUUAGUAACAUUUUAAUUCACUUACCUAGCAGAUGUUUAUGUCAAGUAGAAAAGAGAAAAGGGGGAAGGACCAAAGGGCAACUGAAGGUCAGAUUGGAAAGUCUUUAUGUUGCAUUAAUUCCCAACUGUUGCUUUAUAUAAUAUAUAAGAUGUACAGCUGGGAGAAAGAUUUGACUGUGAAAUAUA